rnacentral:rRNA from 1 species
AGCAGCCGCGGUAAUUCCAGCUCCAAUAGCGUAUAUUAAAGUUGUUGCAGUUAAAAAGCUCGUAGUUGAAUUUCGAGACCGGUUUACUGGUCGUGCUUUUGUACGUACUGGUAUUAUUGGUUUCUCCUUUCUGACGAAUCAUAAUGCCAUUAAUUUGGUGUUUUGGGGAAUCAGGACUGUUACUUUGAAAAAAUUAGAGUGUUUAAAGCAGGCUCACGCUUGAAUACAUUAGCAUGGAAUAACGAAAUAGGACGUUUGAUUUUAUUUUGUUGGUUUCUAGGAUCGACGUAAUGAUUAAUAGGGAUAGUUGGGGGCAUUAGUAUUCAAUUGUCAGAGGUGAAAUUCUUGGAUUUAUUGAAGACUAACUACUGCGAAAGCAUUUGCCAAGGAUGUUU